UACAGAGGUCUCAAGCGUUGUUCGGAUUCAUUGGGCGUAAAGGGUGCGUAGGCGGCGCGGUAAGUCGGGUGUGAAAUCUCGGGGCUUAACUCCGAAACUGCAUUCGAUACUGCCGUGCUUGAGGACUGGAGAGGAGACUGGAAUUUACGGUGUAGCGGUGAAAUGCGUAGAUAUCGUAAGGAAGACCAGUGGCGAAGGCGGGUCUCUGGACAGCUCCUGACGCUGAGGCACGAAGGUCAGGGGAGCAAACGGG
rnacentral:rRNA from 1 species